GGGAGAAAACGUUCUGGACUCUUGCCCAGCAGGGGGCAACAAUACACCCAAGACAAACCCAAGGGGACAGGGGUCAGCCUGUCUGAAUAAAGAAUUUUCUCUUCAGAAGAACGCUGGAGAACGGGAAACGACGGCAUCGAGGAGCUAGCCAGGAAGCGAUGAUGUUUGAAUAACCAGAUGAAGCCCACAGUUCACCUGCAAUGUAAAAAUUAAAGCAUAAAAUCUGCUCUUAACUUAAAUA